AUUGAACGCUGGCGGCAGGCCUAACACAUGCAAGUCGAACGAGUGGCGGACGGGUGAGUAAUGUCUGGGAAACUGCCUGAUGGAGGGGGAUAACUACUGGAAACGGUAGCUAAUACCGCAUACCAUCAGAUGUGCCCCGAUGGGAUUAGCUAGUUGGUGGGGUAACGGAUCACCAAGGCGACGAUCCCUAGCUGGUCUGAGAGGAGGACAAGCCACACUGGAACUGAGACACGGACCAGCAUCCUAGGGGAGGCAGCAGUGGGGAAUAUUGCACAAUGGGCGAAAGCCUGAGGCAGCCAUGCCGGGUGUAUGAAGAAGGCCUUCGGGUUGUAAAGUACUUUCAGCGGGGAGACGUUACCCGCAGAAGAAGCACCGGCUAACUCCGUGCCAGCAGCCGCGGUAAUA
rnacentral:rRNA from 1 species